rnacentral:rRNA from 1 species
UACAGAGAGUGCAAACGUUGUUCGGAAUCACUGGGCAUAAAGCGCACGUAGGCGGCCUUUCAAGUGUGGAGUGAAAUCCCACGGCUCACCCGUGGAACUGCUUCGCAUACUGUUUGGCUCGAGGAUGGUAGAGGAGAGCGGAACUCCUGGUGGAGCGGUGAAAUGCGUAGAUAUCAGGAGGAACACCGGUGGCGAAGGCGGCUCUCUGGUCCAUUUCUGACGCUGAGGUGCGAAAGCUAGGGUAGCGAACGGG